UACAGAGGGUGCAAGCGUUAAUCGGAAUUACUGGGCGUAAAGCGCACGUAGGCGGUUUUUUAAGUCAGAUGUGAAAGCCCCGGGCUCAACCUGGGAAUUGCAUUUGAAACUGGGGAACUAGAGUGUGUGAGAGGGGGGUAGAAUUCCAAGUGUAGCGGUGAAAUGCGUAGAGAUUUGGAGGCAUACCAGUGGCGAAGGCGGCCCCCUGGCACAACACUGACGCUCAGGUGCGAAAGCGUGGGGAGCAAACAGG
rnacentral:rRNA from 1 species